AGACUGUCUAUUCCAUCGUCUUGACCAGAGACUGCCGUGGCUUGUUAUUUUAAACCAUGACAACAUACCUGACAUAAAAGCACUUUCUAUCUGAUCCAUGAUGACACUCACUGUCCAGCCCUGCAUCUGGCCUGUGCAGGUCAGCACCUGGCUUGCGCCGAGUUUCUCCUGCAGUCUGGGCUGAAGGAUUCCACAGACAUAACGGGCACCUUGGCUCAGCAGCUCACCAAGAGGGCAGAGGUCCUUCAGGGCUUUGGCCACAGUGAGAUGGCUUAAGGAUGUUUCCAAAAGGAGACAAUGAAGUGCAUGGUAAUUUAUAUCCUGCUAUCUAAGUCGUUCACAGAUUGAGUGAGACCAGCUGGGAGCCGGUGUUUUCCAUCUCCUCUUCCUCCCUUCCCUCCUGUAUACUCCCCUCCCACUGAGGAUUUCUCAGUGAUCUGGAGGCUCCUGGCUCCAUGCCUGGCACAUUGUAGAAUCCUGAGCACAAUCAUCAUCCCUCCAUAGUCCAUAUUUUACUUUUUCUGCCCUUAAAGUGGAAAUAGAUAAUGUUUAUGGAGUCAGUCUCUGGAAUCCUUAGAGGAGCUUAUAACAUGCAUGAACAUAAUAUAGUAAACAAACUUUUAUAAGUAUAGGAAAUGUUUUAUAAUAAAUAUUGUGUGGUACAGCGAUGAUAAUAUAAAAAAUAUAAUACAAAUUGCUAUUAUCUUGAGCCAUUAAAUAUAAGUGGCCUAUUUAAUUUCUUCCUUCAUAGGCCUUUACUUGGCCAUUAUGAUGGUCCAACUUCUGGUUUCAUAGCGAGAAGGAAAUACUUAUACUCUGUUUACACAAACAUUUGCAAGGAAUUAAUGAAAAGUUUUCUAUGUUCUGAGCACUGUUAGUUAAGCUAUAGAGUUUUAAUCUUGAGAUGUUUGGUCUUUUAAUAGACAAAUUCAGUAUUGGCCCCCUACAGGUAAUAAAUACACCUUGAAAAGGCAA